GACGAACGCUUGCGGCGUGCUUAACACAUGCAAGUCGAACGGAAAGGCCCUGCUUUUGUGGGGUGCUCGAGUGGCGAACGGGUGAGUAACACGUGAGUAACCUGCCCUUGACUUUGGGAUAACUUCAGGAAACUGGGGCUAAUACCGGAUAGGAGCUCCUGCUGCAUGGUGGGGGUUGGAAAGUUUCGGCGGUUGGGGAUGGACUCGCGGCUUAUCAGCUUGUUGGUGGGGUAGUGGCUUACCAAGGCUUUGACGGGUAGCCGGCCUGAGAGGGUGACCGGCCACAUUGGGACUGAGAUACGGCCCAGACUCCCACGGGAGGCAGCAGUGGGGAAUAUUGCACAAUGGGCGGAAGCCUGAUGCAGCAACGCCGCGUGCGGGAUGACGGCCUUCGGGUUGUAAACCGCUUUCGCCUGUGACGAAGCGUGAGUGACGGUAAUGGGUAAAGAAGCACCGGCUAACUACGUGCCAGCAGCCGCGGUGAUACGUAGGGUGCGAGCGUUGUCCGGAUUUAUUGGGCGUAAAGGGCUCGUAGGUGGUUGAUCGCGUCGGAAGUGUAAUCUUGGGGCUUAACCCUGAGCGUGCUUUCGAUACGGGUUGACUUGAGGAAGGUAGGGGAGAAUGGAAUUCCUGGUGGAGCGGUGGAAUGCGCAGAUAUCAGGAGGAACACCAGUGGCGAAGGCGGUUCUCUGGGCCUUUCCUGACGCUGAGGAGCGAAAGCGUGGGGAGCGAACAGGCUUAGAUACCCUGGUAGUCCACGCUGUAAACGGUGGGUACUAGGUGUGGGGUCCAUUCCACGGGUUCCGUGCCGUAGCUAACGCUUUAAGUACCCCGCCUGGGGAGUACGGCCGCAAGGCUAAAACUCAAAGGAAUUGACGGGGCCCCGCACAAGCGGCGGAGCAUGCGGAUUAAUUCGAUGCAACGCGUAGAACCUUACCUGGGUUUGACAUGGAUCGGGAGUGCUCAGAGAUGGGUGUGCCUCUUUUGGGGUCGGUUCACAGGUGGUGCAUGCCUGUCGUCAGCUCGUGUCGUGAGAUGUUGGGUUAAGUCCCGCAACGAGCGCAACCCUUGUUCACUGUUGCCAGCACGUUAUGGUGGGGACUCAGUGGAGACCGCCGGGGUCAACUCGGAGGAAGGUGGGGAUGACGUCAAGUCAUCAUGCCCCUUAUGUCCAGGGCUUCACGCAUGCUACAAUGGCUGGUACAGAGAGUGGCGAGCCUGUGAGGGUGAGCGAAUCUCGGAAAGCCGGUCUCAGUUCGGAUUGGGGUCUGCAACUCGACCUCAUGAAGUCGGAGUCGCUAGUAAUCGCAGAUCAGCAACGCUGCGGUGAAUACGUUCCCGGGGCU
rnacentral:rRNA from 1 species